CCUGGCCAGUCCAUCAAACUCCUCCGACCGGCCCAAUCCCCACGUCACGACCUUCCCAACCACCCCACCUCCCGCACCACCUCUGCCCCAUCCAUCCUCCGGUGCACCUCCUGUCGCCGGCCCCAGCACGCCACCCGCCGCUGACCAACCCCCUCCCCGGCCCGACGCGGCCUCCCCAAACCUCCCGCCGCCACCCGCGCCCACCCCAGAUUCCCUGCCUAGCCGGUUCACGCUGCGGCCGCCGCAAGGCUCCACGGAUCCCGGCGGCGCCCUCCCUUCGGUGUGCUCCUUGAUCCCGCCAUCACGUCCUGGAUCCGGCUGCCCCGGACCCCGCCAGAUCCGGUAGAAGUUCCCGCCUACUCUCGGCUGCUGCCAGGGAAGGACAUUGCCACCGCGCCACUUCGUCCUUUUGACGUUGCAGUGCGCAAGCCGUUCACCUUCGUCGCCCAUGUCCGUCCAAUGACUGGUCACCAUGCGCGCCUACCUGACCCUCAUGGGGUACCAGUGGUGGCCUUCAUCGCAUUCAUCUGACCACAUGUUUAACUGCAGGGAAUAAAUGUGCCUUCUACGGCUCCGCCCAAAAUCACGCCCGUGCCAUGGGUGUGGCCGUAGCUGAGGUGCAGCUCGCCGUUGCCCGACUCCUAGCUAAGGCAGAGGGGACAGAUAAAAUGCUGGGAGGAUUGGGGCAGGACCGCAGGAGGUAGCAGCAAGCCUUAAGGAGUUGGAGGCACAUUACUACUCAUCAAUUGUCGGUACUCUGCUCUAUGAUUGAGGUGCUUUUCCACGCAUCUGAAAUUCCUCCGGCAACACUCCCCAACAGCUUGUUUCCCCAUUGUUGUGGAUCAACGAGGAUACAAUGUGCUUCUCCUGCUCGCUUGGGUCAAUGGGUGAUUCGGCUGCUGAAGUUGACUAGUAAUUAUCUACUAAAUUUUCCAAGGACAAUCUCGCUUCUACAUUUUCAUAUAUACCAGCUUUUGUUAUUUACAUAUCAGAUGCUCUGACUAAAUCAUCUUGUGUGUUCAGAGACUACAAAUUCUGCUAUGUAGCUUCAGCAGAAUUAGGUGAUGAAAAUGUUGCUCCUCCUAUGGAUUGCUAAUUCCACACUUUUGUCUGCAUUUAUGAAUAAUGCAUAUCCAGUACCAUGCUCUAAUGAUUUUUCAUCAAUUAUACUGCCUAUAUUACAGCAGAAUUAAUGAAGUUCAACUUUGAGAAAGCAAUAAGUCCAGCUGUAUAUGGAAAAACUCUAAGAAGACAAUGACCAAAAUUUUUUGUUAGUGAAGUUCAAUUUGGAAAUACAUGAUAAAAAGGUAUUCUUUA